GUUCCGGAUCAACUUUGAUGGAUGGAAGAAAAUUUUAACUUAAAACAAUUGUUCAAUUGAUGUAGUAAUACCACCCAUUAUUGUUCUUCAUAUUGCUAAUAGUAUCUGCCACCGAAAUAGAGGGGCCGAAGAUUAGAAAACCGCAAUCUCAAUCUCUUCUUUAUCUAGCGCUAGUAUUAAACAUGUUCAAUGGGAUCGGUGAGCAUGGUACAUGGUUAAUCAUUUACAAUCUGUGGGAGGAUGAUCAAGGUGAACUAGAGCUUGAUUUUCAAUCCAAUCCACAUGUAUGUUCUCUUUAUCCUUUGCAAUCUUUGAUCUCUUUAUCCUUGCUCUUUAUCCUUUUCAAUUUGUUAACAUGUCUAAUCCCGUUUGUUCUAUGUGUUGCUCAUCUUUCAGAUGGUCCUAUAAAAUAAAUUGGGUACCUAUAUAAUACGGUCGUGUAAAUUUUAAUGAAAACUUUACUCUUCAACGUAGUAUAAAUUAUAACGGGUAACUCAUUUUGAGGGUAAUAUGAAUUUAACUAGGUACCCAAAUCAGUCUGUAACAUAAACAAAAUUGGAUAAAUUGUUUUAAAUUCCAACGAAAUAGGUUUGUGCUUCAUGUAUAUAUGUACUCCAACUUGAUAGACUUAGGAGGUGAUGGAAUUGUGUUUGCAGUAUGCGUGCCUAAAUUAAAAGAUGACAACCCGUUAUGCACUAAUGUGGAACCAUGAUACAAAUCUAGCCGCCUCCGGUUUAAGGGAUAUCACAAUUUACAUCAUUACUCUCUGGUCAUCCACAUAAGUUCGAUCGCAAUUGCCAUCAUUGAGCUCAAAAGGGGUGUUGCAAUUAAGGCGGUCGAUCGGACAUCAGAAAAUGCUUACCCAGUUUUUGAAUCACCGUAAUAUAGCAGUAGAACUUCGCGUUCUUUUUAUACUCGAGGAAUAUCAUUUUAUGAAUAUAAUAAGGAGUAAGUAUGAAAUGGAAUUUUUGUAAGUAUUGGACCAAAUUUAUUUUAUACGAUCAUCUUAAUUUGUACCCAGUUUAUUAUAUACUAUAGUUUUGCAAUUUUACCAGUUUA